GGGAAAAGUCGUGGAAAAGCCCCUGGAAUAACGACUGCCCGUCGUCCAUGGCCUCCAGAAAAGUUUGCUGAAAAUUAGUUUUCCACGCCAAAGUGCACGUUUUCGCGGUGUAAAGCACCGCACUUUUACCGCAGGACACAGAAAAGAUCGCAACAGUUUGGGACGCCACCGGGCGCGUGGUUUGAAUCAGCACAAUUGUGGUGCAGACGUGCCUGUGGCUCGACACAGUUGACCACACGAAGUGUAGAAGUUUCAUAAAACUCCUUUGGCUGUCGGAUUGAUUUCCCGCGAGCAUCGGAAUAUAAAUUCAGCUUUCAGCAGGCUUUCGUUCCCCGUACCGACUGAACGACACUUAUUAAGCCGACAGGCGGUUGCUAAUCGACAGGCCGAACUUGGCAAGGCAUAGUGGACAAUUUUCGCGGGACAGAACCAACGGCAUUCUGCAAGCCAUUUCACGAAGAACCCCAGAACGGGGUUUUUCUCAGGAGCUUCGAUCCGGUUUCGCUUUGGAGUGGCCAAGGCUCGUCAUCCCGGCCAAGUCGACGGUGCUAUCGUAUGCUGCAUGAAGCAGGCUCAAGGACACAUACGAGCCGCAGAGGAUCAGAGCCAUCCAGGUCCGUCCCGCAGGGCGAGCAUCCUUCAUCGGCGGUCUCGUUGUGAUCGGCGAGCACGGUGCGUCGUUGGAAUCCACGACGAAUAACGACGCGGUGGAGCGACUUACGACAUGGCAGGCAUGGGGGCAAGGUGCACACGUGAAGCAUAGAUAUGAGGUCGUGAGUAGAUGAUUAGUUUUUAAGAGAAAAUCAUGUGACAUUAAUCCAUAAGAAAGCUAGGCACAACCGAUAGGCGCCGAAGAUUCGGCACAAGACUCAUGCCAAAAAUACAAUGAUGAUACGAUAAA